UGAACUCUCACAAAGUUUGUUAAUGUCAUAUAAUCAUAAAAUUGUAUUCAGAAACUCUUUUGUUCCCUGCAAUGUACAGUUGAAGUGUCUGUGUCCUGAAGAUGAAGUUUAUUUGUUUGACUCUGAUGCUUAUAAGCGGAAUUACAGACUCAGUAUCAGGACCAUCUGCUCUGUUCAGUCAAGUUCUCCACCAAGCUCGAUCUCAGCAGAGCAUACAACCUCAUCCACAUCAGGGAGGGAGAUGAAAGGAAGACAGCUUUCUCCACUACAUCCGGUCACUAUGAAUAUUUGCUUAUGCCAUUCGGCCUCUCUAACAGUC